UUUAACGGGGACUAGUAUUUUCAGGCACAUGUGUACAAAGAAGAAGAAGAUGCUAACAUAAAGCUACAAAUUGUUGUUUACAUUUUAAAACGGCUGUACAAAUUGUGAUUGGGGCGUGUUUUCCGGUGUGCUGCCCUCCACCACAGAUGCCCAGCUCUGCGCCCUUGGAUCCCAAGCUCGUAUGGAGGUGUCCGUGGCAGCUGCCUCGUGCUAUCGCCUGGCUGCUGCAGCCGUCCUGGAAUCAACAAAAGGCCAGUGACCAGCAGGCCCACAGCCGGCCACUGUAAGCGUUGUAGUGGCCCUCUCGUGCCAUUGGACAAUGGCUCUGGUCCAGUCCGUGUAGAGGCGGCUGUAUGUGGCCGCUCCAUGCCCCAAGCCAGAUGAUUUGCCUGAAUUUGGCCAGCUGCCGAGUGAACUUGAGUGGGUCGACCUCGUUCUGUACGCUCCAGGAUGGCACCAGAAGCUGUGGAAUAAAGGAAAACAGAGUUUUUGCCACCCUGAUCAGCAUUAUUAAUUUUUCUCCGUCUCUUUUUAGAAACUCUGCAGAUCCUGGCCUCCGACUGCACGAUCGCCAAACUUCCAGCUGGAGCCUCUUCUUGUUGAUCAGUGCGGGCUCGGUUCUCUUCAGCAGUAAAUGCGGCGUCCAUCGCGUCAUCCAAUUCCCUUUCCAGUCGCUGUUGCAGAGUGUUCAUUCCCUCCUCUAGCAGCUGCUCAGGAGUAGGCGGAGGGAGCUCAUGUGGCUCGAGCGGAGUCAUUAUGAGCCUCUUUCUCAGCAUCCGAGCAACGUGAUUCACCCAGCAUAUGGAAGGUCUCUCCUGUGGGAUUCCGAGAGCUAUGCGACGCUCUUGUUCAAGGCGUUUUCGCUGGAUAACUGCCUCCUUGGCUCGGGCUUCAUUUAGUAGACGCUGCUGCUCAAAUGCAAUCUGCUCGCAGUGAAUUAAAGUUGGCAGCGGUUGCUGCUGUUGGGCUGCUGCUAUCUGCAAGAGCUGCUGUUGGAGCGGACGAACAUUUGGAUGAGUAAAAAGUGAUGUUGCCAUCCUGCUGCUAGACGUGUUAAAGAUGUCCUCCGCUGAGUCGAUGUUGUGUGCCUCUCGGAUGUCCUGGCUUCUGAUGUAUCUGCUGGCCAUUGCAAUCUUUCUCACGAGUCGGUUUUGCGUGCCUUCUAUCCUGCGGAAUUGAGAGUCACAUACCAAAGCUCCCCAAACAGGUAAGGCAUAUUGC